AUUAGUUAGUUGGUGGGGUAAAGGCCUACCAAGGUGACGAUCUGUAGCUGUUCUGAGAGGACGUCCAUCCCCACUGGGAUUGAGACACGUCCCAGAUUCUUACGGGAGGCACCAGUGGGGAAUUUUGGCCAAUGGGGGAAACCUUGAUCCAGCAAUGCCGCGUGUGUGAAGAAGUCCUUCGGGUUGUAAACCACUUUUGUCCGGAAAGAAAACACCGUGGUUAAUACCCGUGGUGGAUGACGGUACCGGAAGAAUAAGCCCCGGCUAAUUACGUGCCACCAGCCGCGGUAAUCCGUAGGGUGCAAGCGUUAUUCGGAAUUACUGGGGGUAAAGCGUGCGCAGGCGGUCCGUUAAGACAGAUGUGAAAUCCCCGGGUUUACCCUGGGAACUCCAUUUGUGACUGGCGGGUUAGAGUAUGGCAGAGGGGGGUAGAAUUCCACGGGUAGCAGUGAAAUGCGUAGAGAUGGGGAGGAAUCCCGAUGGCGAAGGCAGCCCCCUGGGCCAAUACUGCCGUUCAUGCAGGAAAGCGUGGGGAGCAACCAGGAUUAGAUCCCCUGUUAUUCCACCCC
rnacentral:rRNA from 1 species